AUUGAACGAGCAACGUUAGUGACACUUUGAGGUUUCUACUCGGCUCUCUGGUGAGGAGUUGAGCUAGCCUCGUGUGAGCUAGCGGGUAGCUACUUUUGUAUUCGAGGCAUGGUGUUCUGCAUUUCUGUGUCGCCUUGGGCGUCAAGAACAUUAUAAUCCAACUUGGAUGGAACAACUUCGUGACCUUAAUGACACCCAGCAACACGAGCUAGAGAGACACACAAGCACCACAGGGGAGGAUCUGCAGCAAAGGGCCCACCGGAAAUCAAACCUUGGCCGCCAUGAUGACGACAACAUGGGGCACUUGAGUGUGAAUCUAGCCUUUUCAUUUUUAUUUACAACAUUAGCAUUGAAAAGAGCAAAAGUUGAUGCUUGAGAUGAUUUUUUUUACUGAAGAGGAUGUACGUCUUCCCCUUGUCCUUUAUCCCCUUACUCUUUCUUUUUAGGUGUGAUUACGACUACCAGCAUGAACCUCAACACCUUCUUUGCUGUUCCACUAGUGUGACCCAUGAUCGGAUACAAGUUGUCAAGGAUAAACGGGAAGAGAAUCAUGUCAGCCCACAGACAACCGGUUGACCUGUGAGUCUUCAAGCAGUAAUGAUGACUACGCCUGCCUUAAAUUCCAGUUUCCUGGACAUCAUGUCGGCAUGAGAUUCUGUCCCCACCUGUCUUCAGUCUGGACCCAAUGAGUUUUUUUUUUUUACAGUGCGUUUACAGUCACAUGGUUUAUUUCGAGGCUUUGUCUGAGUUUCAGUGCUGCAGUUAUUUACCAUUCAGGGUUGUUCAGAAACAUCCAAUUUGUCAUACUAAUUUGAAGGGCUUGCUGCUGUGAUUCUUUUGUGUACACCAGGAUUUCUUUGUAUUUUGGCAUUUUACACAAAUGUUUUUGAAAGAUGGUCAACAAAGUUGCACAAAUAAAUGUUUACAUGCU